UCAUCAAAGUUUUCUGUGGUAGGAUUUUAUUUUCUGCAGAUGGGCUCAUUUUAUUAGCUUUUUUACAAACGCUUAAGUUUUCUAUGUCUACAUUCUGUGCCUUUGCCCCAGGCAGGUGGACUCUGGACUUGGGAUAGUGUUGCUGGUGCAAGACUUGGUAUGUGUCUACAUGGGACUGUGGAAGGCAUCAUAAUAUGUUAGUCUGCCACAGGAUCACGAAUGGACAGUAGUGACAAAUGGACACAAAGGCUCCUACCCUAAAUGCAGUGUGAAAUCCUGUCGUUGGUGGGUUGUACCUACUCCUGACAGAUACCAGUGGGUAUUUGUCUCUCUUACUCUUUGACAGCACGUGCAUAAAUUGCCAUGCCAAUAAAGCCUCACUGAAUUGAACUGAAGUUGUGAAAGGCAAAAAAAAAAAAUAAUAAUAAUAAAAAAUGGGGGCGUGAACCAGAAUUGGCUACUAGAUCUGUAUGCAGCAGGAAUCCAAUGGCCCCAAAUACCCUGGAACCAGCAGUUUCUGUCCAUUACCCCCCUCCAAUGCUGAGCAGUAGCCUUGCUGGACUCGCUGUAUAUAACCCUGGGUCUCAGAGUGCUGUAUUGGGGCUGAGAAUUCCAUCCCACCAGCUGAUGUUUGACUGCAUUUUUCCAUCUUCCCAGCCUUUUUAUUCAGGCUUCAUUCCCUUUCUGAAGAGUAGGUCAUACACUAUAGAGAUAAACAUUAUCUUAUCUGACAUAGUAUUGCAAAUCCAGGAUAAUCUUACCUUUGAAGGGCAAGUAUUAUAGCUUCUGGCAUCUAUUUCAGUAUAUUAAAAAUGCGUGAAGUACUGAAUUUCCUUAUUUUCCCUAUAUUUUCACCUGAUGAAGCAAAUAAUAUCUGGUGACUUAGCUAUUUGGGAAUGGGUCUGCAUAUGACCAUCAUCUCUUUGCUUCUUCUCUGCCUGAGAGACUAAAGAGACAUGCAGCCCCAUUGUUUCUAUAGAUCCCCUGGCUACUGACCAACAGCAGGAGCUUUAUCGGCAAAUUCAGAAGGAAUUAAGUCAAAAUCUGCUCUCAGUUACGUGACUGCCACUCCCUGUUUUGACCCACUGCCUACUCAGCUAUUGGUCACAAUAUUAAAAAAGCAAGAGGGGAAAGGUGGAAUUAACUAGGGAGAGGGAAGGAUUGGUUAAGACACAACUCUUUCAUUGGCAGUCUUUAAGAUGUGUUUUGAUAUCUUUUUAAAAGAGAUGCUCUAGCUCAAACUGAAAUUAUGGACUUGUUGCAGAAAUUAUUGACUGGGCUCUUUGGCCUGUGUUAUGUAGCAGGUCAGACUAGGUGAUCAUAAUGGUGCUGCUGGCCUUAAAAAUCUAUGGAAACAGGAACCUGGCGACUUGGCAAAGGCAUGCUGGUGAAUAGACACAUAGUGGCUGAGUACUUACUGACUUACCUGUAGGUUGGUACUGACAUAUGGGUUGAAUGAGUCAGGGAGAGUCGUGGGAGCUCAGCAUUCCUGAAUAUCAGACCUGUAGACAUGAAACCAUUUCCUAAAUGAGUUAGAAUCACGCAGAAAUCCUGGGAGGUAACCCCCUCUUUGAUUCUCAGCUCACAACCUUUUCAUGGAGUUACCCAGGAAUGGAUGCCGAGCUCAUGCUCAGAGACAGACUCUAGAACUGGGCAGUAGCUGCAGCUGGACUCUGAGACAAGAAGGAGCAAUCCAGUCAGGCAACAGCAUCUCAGCAGAAAGUGCUGCAUAUAUAGGAAUGAUAUUAUACAGAUGGAGGUCUGGUGUGCUGGAGGUGUAUAUCUAAAUCAUCACAAUUAUGAUGGCCAAACCUCUCCGUGUGGCUGCAUGUGCCAGCUUCCCAGAGAUGAGAGAUGGUCAAUGUCCUGUCAGAGAAUGGUGCAAACCCAAACUCGUAGUGUCAUCAGCAGAUUUGUAUAGGAGAAGAGGAUCAGACUGAGAGGAAUAAUGAAACAGCAAGAUCAAACCUGAGGCUCUGCUCAACCAGUGUGUUCUGAACUCCCCAGGGUUUUUGAGACCAGAGCCUGCUUCAGCUGCUGAGGGGUUUGCAGCUAAAUCAAACAACCUUGGUGUGUUUUGGAUUGGAGUGUUCCUACUCCAGUGAGAGGAGUGUUAAUAAGAGGUAUGUGUGUGAGAGUCCAGCCUGAGAGAGAGAG